AACGUAGGUCACGAGCGUUGUCCGGAAUUACUGGGUGUAAAGGGAGCGCAGGCGGGAAGACAAGUUGGAAGUGAAAUCUAUGGGCUCAACUCAUAAACUGCUUUCAAAACUGUUUUUCUUGAGUAGUGCAGAGGUAGGCGGAAUUCCCGGUGUAGCGGUGGAAUGCGUAGAUAUCGGGAGGAACACCAGUGGCGAAGGCGGCCUACUGGGCACCAACUGACGCUGAGGCUCGAAAGUGUGGGUAGCAAACAGG
rnacentral:rRNA from 1 species